GGCAUUGCGGAGAAAAGCAACGCAACGGGAUAGUCGGUUACGUCGAAAGAGACAAAUCGAGCAAUUGAGGUCAACGAUCGCUACUACGUAUCGCUGUAUUUCCUUUUAUUCUUUUACAAAACGAAAAGAAGGCUCGACUACUAGUCCGAGCGUCAACGACCAAUCAGAAGGCUCUCCAUUGGCAAACGCAUGAACCACGCACGUUUUCUUCGCCUUGACAAGGAUCGUGUUUACCAACGGUUACGCGCGUAGCAUUCAACGUGCUCGUGCCGUGAGCAUGUAUAUCUACCUACAUGUAUUAUGCCACGAGCAGCACGGUGUAUGUAAGCAAGUAUAUACACAUCGCCGGCUGUUCGAGCAUAGCCACGAUAAAACGUGAGCGCAGUAUCGAGAAUCAAGAGUCUUCGGUCGCUGACUCAGUUUCACUUGAAUGCUCGAACGAAGCAGUUUACCAGAGUUCCCUUUCGGCGCGUCGGUAACGUCAUUUCUCUUCAUUUUCCUCGAUGUUUAAUUAAACUGUACGCGCGUCAAACGACAUUCGAAGAAAUCGAAUAUUUUCUGAUCAGAUUUUAACGUUUGCCAAUAACACAGUGCGUCGGCGAUUUUCUCAAGCUUCUUUUCACGAAAACGGGAAUCGUGGGAUCGUGUUCUUGAGAAGAUCCGGUAGAAGUAUUCAAAGGACGCGGCACACUCGGAUUCCCACGUGGUCACGUGACGUCCAGCCUUAUUGACCGACGUGUAUCGGAACUCGGAUUGGCCAACGCUGCACACGUGACCUGUUCUAACGUCAAUUUCGACUACCGUCUGCUGGUAGUCGGCUGGAUAGAUUUUUCACCGAACCGAGAGAACAAACGACUUUAACUUCGAAUCUAGUUAUGCGUGAGUGUACUCUAUCAUACAGAUACAUCCCUUUUCACCAGUUUUGAACGGGCGUUCUCGACGGUUGCGUGUCCCGACGCGCAUCGAUAAACUCGUCGUAGCUCUGCAGUCGAAGCAUUUGCCCGGCUUCGAAUCCUUGACAGUUCUCUCUCGUCUCGCAUUGGCGACGGGUUUCGUUGAAGUUCGUUCGAUACUGAUCCGAAGCAAGAGUUCACGGUUAGAACCUUCUAACUGAUAGCGGGCGAUUAGCAACAAGCCACGUCGACCCUGACAAAUGCCAUCGAGGAACGGCACUUUUCGAUGUGGUUAAGUCGUUCUUUAAGCUCGACGUGCCUGGACUGGAUGCUACUCCUCUCCACGGAAGACUUUUGAACGGCUGGAUAUACAACUGACCGGCGUCGCGGCGAUUUCCAAUCUUCCUGUCGUCGCAGUCCACCGCUUGACACGCGGAACGGUGAAAAUAUCUCGACGGAGACAUACAUUUCGGGACGUGAUUCGAGACGUAAUACGUUAGUGUAAGAUGUACAGUAUGAACUACAUUGGCAAAUUCAUAAGCAACUUUCGCGUUUUCUACAAUGAGAUCAACGCGGCGACGCUUACCGGUGCCAUCGACGUCAUCGUCGUCGAGCAACCGGAUGGAUCGUUCACCUGUUCGCCUUUCCACGUUCGCUUUGGGAAACUUGGUGUACUACGUUCCAGAGAAAAAAUAGUAGACAUAGAAAUAAAUGGAGAGCCUAGACAAAUCCACAUGAAAUUGGGAGACUCUGGAGAAGCCUUUUUUGUAGAGGAAGUUAGUUCACAUGGUUCUCCCACUGACACUGAAAUUCCGCCUCAUCUGGCUUGCUCUCCCAUCCCUGAAGAUAAUUGUUUCCCGUCAGCUAGAUUCAAUAUACUUUCUGAUCUGCCGCCAGAGCAAAGAGACAAGAUUGUUAUAGAAUCUAUCUUGUCUGUUGAAAGAGAGAAAUGGGAGCAAAUGUCGGCUUUACCAGUGGACGAAAGAGAGAGAUUCUUAAUUGAACAGUUCUCUGACCUUCCAUCGGAUCACCGUGCAAAGUGGCUUCAAAUUGCUGCUCUGACUUCAGAGGAAAGAGAGGAAAUGUUCAAAGAAAUAUUUGGUGAUAUUCCUACGGCACAGAGGCAACAGUUAAUUUGCGAGCAAUAUUCCGCUUUAAAAAGUGAGGAUAAAGAGAGAUUGUUCAAAGAAAAUUUUCCAGAACUUUCUGUCGAUCAAAGACAAAAAUUUGAAAAAGCUCUGCUGGGAAACUGGAAAGAAAAGAGCGGUGAAAAACGAGAUUGCUUGAAAAGCGAGGAUGAAAUUUUUAAUAUGGAUGGCAUUAACGAUGAUGAGACCUGUCCAGCUACGCCCAAGUCUUUUGUGGCUGUGACUUCGUCUGAAAGAAUUCGUAAAAUUAGCGUAGUAAACAAUGACUUUAGACCAAUCACCGAAGAUGUGCAAAGUAGUGGCAGGGAAAAAUCGAGUGACGAAUCGAAUGCAUCGACGAGUAAAAAGAAUUUAAAAGACGAAGGCGUCGAAGAAAAUAAGAGCAAUACUAAUUCAACUAAGAGGAAACGCAAGAGAAAAAGCAUUUUGAAGAAGAAAGGAUCUCAGAGGAAGGCUAGCAAUGGUAGUAGUAGCCAGACAGAGAUAAGCGAAAACGAUACUCCCAUUUCGGAUGAAUCUGUAAGAACUCUUGGUGAAUCUUUGAAGGAUUCACGUCCAACCGUAGAACUAGAGGAAAAAAAUGAACCUAUAAUUUCAACUCAGGAAACAACGGACAAACGUCCUGAAACAGACUUCCAUUUCUUCAGUGAUACUGAAGUUACAAAGAAUCAGGAUUCUAGGCCAUGUUCACCUGUUCAAUCUGACACAGAGUUUGAAAUGCGUAAAAUAACGCAAGAAGGCACUGAAAGAGAAGAAGAUAAAAGCCAUCAGCAGAGCUGGAGAUGGGGCGAACUGCCCAGUUUACCUCCAGAGCCGGUGCAUGCACCUCACAGAAGUUCACUGGGUUCAUCGAACGCUGUUACUCAGCCAAAUAUGGAAGCACACCGAUCUAUGCUCAGUGGUAUGUUGUCGUUUAUGCGGAAAACCUCUCGUAUGAGACGUAAUCCAGAAUCAGAAGGGAUUUAUCUCAGUGAUCUUAACGCCGACGAACUGGACCCGGAAGUUGCAGCACUCUAUUUUCCUUCUUCUCAUAGAAGCCAAACAACGGUUAAAGAUGGGAAAGGAGUAGAUGAAGAGGAUACCGAAUCAGGUAACGGACCAAGUUUGCCACAAAGUCCUAACAGCGUUGAAGGAGCUAUUGGUGGACCAAAGUCAUUAGACAGUGAUUUUGAAGAAUCGAAACAUUCUAUAUUUGAUAGCAACAUGAAUAUUAGUUUAUCCUUGUGUGGUGGUUUAGAUUCUGAAACUGGUCCAUCGAAAGAAAUUUUCCAUCAAAAUUUACUCCAGUUCGAAGAUAUCUGCUCAGAUCCAAAAUUGUAUGAAAAUCCAAAUUUAGUUGUAAAAAUUAAUGGAAAAUUCUACAAUUGGGCUACUGCUUGUCCAAUUGUAAUGACUUAUGCUGUGUUCCAAAGACAUUUACCGCAAAAUACAAUCGAAAAUUUAUAUGCUCAAUGUAUGUCAUUACCAAUGCUCGAAGAGAAGAAACAAGAAAGCAACGACAAACCCGAAAGCCGUAGUGGUUAUAGUUCGUGGUUUUCAUGGAGACGUUCUGCGCAACCACCCAAAAAAUCUCAGGAACUUAAUCAGACUGAUGGAUCUGUUGUACAAUUAUCGGAACAAAUGGAAACCAAAGAACAUACUCCAAUUGAUGAAACUUCAAAUAAAGAAUUAAAGAUUGAUCAGAACGUAGAAACUAUAGCGACAGUAAUGGAAACAGUGGAACAGUCUGUGAAAUUAACAAAAGACAUCGUCCAGACUAAGAAAAGUCGCGACAGAGACGGUGAAGGUUAUAGUGGUAGCGAAGAUUCCGACAGUAAUCAGAACGAAUCCCAAGGAAUAAAGAUACCUAAAGAAAGAAGAUCGUAUUACGAAUCUACUGAGAAAUAUCGUAAAACCUUGAGAUUAUCAUCAGCACAGAUAGCAAGCCUUAAUUUAAAAGACGGAGCUAAUGAAGUAGUUUUUAGUGUAACUACAGCUUAUCAGGGUACAACACGUUGUAAGUGUCACAUUUACAAGUGGAAAUGGGAUGACAAAAUUGUUAUCUCCGAUAUAGAUGGAACUAUCACAAAAUCUGAUGUAUUAGGCCAUAUUUUGCCAAUCGUUGGUAAAGAUUGGGCUCAAUCUGGUGUUGCUCAGUUAUUCACAAAAAUUAAAAAUAAUGGUUACAAAUUGCUGUAUCUUUCUGCAAGAGCCAUUGGACAAGCUAAAGUUACGAGAGAAUAUUUGAAAAGCAUUAGACAGGGAGAUUUGUCACUCCCUGACGGACCAUUGCUUUUAAAUCCAACGAGCUUAAUUUCAGCAUUCCAUCGUGAAGUUAUAGAAAGAAAACCCGAAGAAUUUAAAAUAUCCUGCCUUAGUGACAUUCAAGCUUUAUUCCCGGAAGGUUCAAGACCUUUCUAUGCUGGUUACGGAAAUCGAAUUAAUGAUGUUUGGGCGUAUCGAGCUGUCGGAAUUCCGACAAUGCGUAUAUUUACUAUAAACCAUAGAGGUGAAUUAAAACAUGAAUUAACGCAAACAUUCCAAUCUUCUUACGCAUGUCAGUGCGAUAUCGUCAAUGAGUUGUUCCCGCCACUGCCCAUGUGAAACACCUACUGAUGGCGGCACAACCAUAGCUGCUUUAUUCUAUUAAUCCAAUUGAUAAUGUUUCGAUGAUGAUCUUUACAAAACAGUAGAUUUGUGCCAUUGGUCCUGUCUUUUUAUUUGAUACAUAUAGAUUUGCUACUUCGUAAUAGGAAUAUUAUUUUAUGCGCGGUACUUUUUUUUUUAAAUAUUUAGUGACGUUUGUAGAUUUACAAGAUUUACAAGCUAUGUCGCAUACUUGAUUACAAGAUAUAUGUUAUAUGUAAUGCAAUGUGUCUCAAUAUAUAGUUAUGUAAAUGUUUAUCAUAGUGAUAUAUACAUAUCACUGUUGAAGCGCAGUUAAAUCUUUCCAAUGGCAACUUUUUUUCGUUUUUCUAUUUUAUUUAUUUGUUUCAUAAAAGUGGAAUUUUACUUUAUUUUUUUAUUAUAUAACAUUAUUAGUAUGCUUUGAGGUAUUUGGUUGUGCAAGAACUCCUACCUAUCUUCUUAUGAUUCUUAUAGGAUACUCAAACAUGAGCUUUAUCGUCGAUCAUCUUUUCCCAGCCUGGAGAGAGGAUGCUGCGGAUGAAUUUAGUAAUUUUGCGUAUUGGCGAGACCCAAUACCGGAAGUACCAUCGCUCGAAGAACUUUACGCUCAAAGACAAAUCACCUAAGUGAAAAUAUUUUAUAAUUUUUACUUCAAACAAGAAACGGAUAUACUUUAUUUAUAAUUUGAUAAUGUUCGAUUCUACUGAUCAUCUUUUAUAUCGUAUGUUGCGUAUGACACAUUCAGACGUAGGAUUCUUGACCUUCAAAUCGAUGAGACUAAAGUAGGUUUAUACCAUGAUUGUAGGCUGCAAUAAUUAAAUUUCUAUUAUUGAUCGCAAGAUCUUAAACAACAUUAAAUGCGCAUAAAAACAACUUAUCAUCAAUAUAAACGAUGCAUAAAUUAGAAUGUAAGAAGAGUAACCUGUUUUUCACAAUCAAAUUUAAUCACAUUCCAAUUCUCAUAGAAUAAUAGGAUUCUUUUUUCAGUUUCCAAUAACAUUAAAAAUUAGUUUUUAUAUAAUUUAUAGCUAAAUUAUUACAUUACUCAGAGAAGAGAGCACGAGUGCCUCUUAUAUAACAAUUAAGGGACUCAUCCUAUCAUUAUAUGCUUCGAGAGCUCAAAGAAAGUCGCUUACUAAUUCUGUGCUUAAGGUAAUCCGUAGAUUUUUUCACUACUUACAUAUUAUAUUGUUGAUCUGUAAUCGACAACAUUUAUGCGAUACCGAUGAGUAAUUAUAAUACAGUGAUAAACAUGCAUAUAAAAUGAUUCAUUGAUGCGUUUACAGAAAAUAUUUCUUGUUAGAAAAGUUCGUUUAUUAUUAACAAAAAAUAGUAUACGUGUGUUUUACUACUAGUUUUUUAUAUUUUGUUCCAUUUCAUAAAAAAUCUCUGAUGCUUAGAAUCGUUUGAUCACAUAUAAGAGUCUAUUGUAUUAUAAUUUAAAUAUUUAUAUAUUACUUUAGCAGAUAUAUUUAUCGAACAUUUCGUUAAAGAAAUCCUUAUUUAUUUUUAUAUAAGAUCUCUGUUAAAUUAGUGUGCUGUGAAGUUGCCAUAUUUUAGAAUGUAAUCAUUUGUGUAUUGUGAUAUAAUUCGAACAAAUUACUAAUGAGGUCAGGACGAUAACAGUGUAUAAAAGCAAAUUUAUUAUUUACACUAAUAAUGAAAAAACGUUUCUAUAUGUAGUUUCCUAUAUGAAGUUACUAUUAUUCCAAACUAUGUUCCAUUUUGUAGCGCAGGCGCGCCGUUGAAUUUUUUUUUUCCUUUUCUUCUUUCUUGAUGAUGAUAUUGUAUGCCUAUGUCUUUCAAAAUACAUUCAAAAAAUAGUUAAGUAUAAAGGUUGUUAGUAAAAUAGUACAGAUUACUAAUUUCUGUUAAUGAAAAUACUACAAUAACAUGAGAGAAUGAUAAUCUUAAUAAUUUUAAACAAUUAUCAGUGACAUGUAAAAGUAUAAUUGUGUUCCACCAAAGAAAAUAGAAAAUAUUUUCAUUUUAGAAUAUAUUUCGUACUUGAAAUAUGUACUAUUAGAAAUAUGACGUAAGAGAUAUAUUAUUUGAAAUAAUUAUAGUAAAAAAUCAAUUUCCUGACAUCAACCAAAUGAUGAUGUGGUACACGCAAACUACUUGAUCAUGCAGUAUUGUAUCCUAAUUACAUUUAAAGCAAAACAUUUUCUGGUUGACUACAAAUGAUUUCAUGAAAAAAAAGAAAGAAAAAACAUAAUGAAAUA